GAUGAACGCUGGCGGCGUGCCUAAUACAUGCAAGUCGAGCGAACAGACGAGGAGCUUGCUCCUCUGACGUUAGCGGCGGACGGGUGAGUAACACGUGGAUAACCUACCUAUAAGACUGGGAUAACUUCGGGAAACCGGAGCUAAUACCGGAUAAUAUAUUGAACCGCAUGGUUCAAUAGUGAAAGACGGUUUUGCUGUCACUUAUAGAUGGAUCCGCGCCGCAUUAGCUAGUUGGUAAGGUAACGGCUUACCAAGGCAACGAUGCGUAGCCGACCUGAGAGGGUGAUCGGCCACACUGGAACUGAGACACGGUCCAGACUCCUACGGGAGGCAGCAGUAGGGAAUCUUCCGCAAUGGGCGAGAGCUUGACGGAGCAACGCCGCGUGGGUGAUGAAGGUCUUCGGAUCGUAAAACUCUGUUAUUAGGGAAGAACAAAUGUGUAAGUAACUAUGCACGUCUUGACGGUACCUAAUCAGAAAACCACGGCUAACUACGUG
rnacentral:rRNA from 1 species